rnacentral:sRNA from 1 species
UUAACGCGGUAUCGAUGGCGGCGACAACGAAAGUUCGCGCCGGGGGCGACCUGGUGACAGGUACAGCAUUUGCUGCAGUCAGUUUUCACUGAUUUGAGACCCCGUAAUACCUCAACAUCUUGCAUUCCCUGAUGCACAGAUACUCGUUA